ACUGCUCGCGCGCAAGCGCGAGCGUAUGCCUGAGCGUUUCGUCGUUGGGUGCGAUGCGUGUGACGAGAGAGCAAUCUCACGUCGCCGCUCGCGCUCUCGGCGUCGCUCUAAACAAUGGGCCAAACGGCAGACGUGUGUCGCAGUUCGCUCUCUUCUUUUUUCUGGCUGUGUGUGCGCGUGUGUGUGUCUUUUUUGAACGCGGAGACACACGCACCACACCACGCUCACGCUGGAAUAUAAGAUUGAGAGAGGAUACAGCGCCUCGAGCGUGUUUGAACGCGAUAUGCACCAAAUAGACACACACGUGUUGUUUGCGUCGAGUCCCGGAGCUCUCAACUGCGGGCGGACCGAUGCAGCGCGCGCGCGUGUGUUGGUUGCAUCCAUGCAUGCUCUUGGAAAAAAACACACUAAUGUUUUACUUUAACGACGACCUCAGAGCAGGCGAGACUAC
rnacentral:misc_RNA from 1 species